GAACUUAGGCCGACGUCGUACAGAGCUUGCUCGGUGACGAGCUCCCUCUGCUUCGGCAUCGACACAUCCUUCAGUCGGUGAAAGUCCUCUCGAUCUCUAGCCUUCAUUCGACUGUUUUCGUUCGACUGAGUCCGAGGGUCGCCCCAGGGAGAAGGAAACCCCCAAGGUAGUGAAGAAGCAAAGAAAAAUUAGUUCUUUCACCCAUGGAUCGAUGAUGGAAGAUCGAUAAUGAACGAAAGACCCUUCCGGAGAUUGAAGAACCACCACACUCGGACUUUCGGGUGG
rnacentral:lncRNA from 1 species